GCGAGCGGAAUGCCGAAUCCUGCCGCCGCUCGAGGCUCCUUCUACACACGACGGCAGGAGCGGGGGACCCAGGUAAGCCGCCGCACCGGACACCGUUCCGGAGCGGCUCGGGGUGAAGCCGCGUCUCGACACCGAGACCGGCCGGGCACCUCCCCGCCCGAACCCGACAGCUCACCUCGCAGGCAUCGGAGAGGAAAA
rnacentral:sRNA from 1 species